rnacentral:rRNA from 1 species
AGAGUUUGAUCCUGGCUCAGGAUGAACGCUGGCGGCAUGCCUAAUACAUGCAAGUCGAACGGGAUAUCUUCGGAUAUCCAGUGGCGAACGGGUGAGUAACACGUAGGUAACCUGCCCAUGUGCCCGGGAUAACGCCUGGAAACGGGUGCUAAAACCGGAUAGGUAUCGCUUCUGCAUGGAAGAGAUAUUAAAGGAGCUGCAAGGCUCUGAACAUGGAUGGACCUGCGGUGCAUUAGCUGGUUGGUGAGGUAACGGCCCACCAAGGCGACGAUGCAUAGCCGGCCUGAGAGGGUGAACGGCCACAUUGGGACUGAGACACGGCCCAAACUCCUACGGGAGGCAGCAGUAGGGAAUUUUCGUCAAUGGGGGCAACCCUGAACGAGCAAUGCCGCGUGAGUGAGGAAGGUCUUCGGAUCGUAAAGCUCUGUUGCAGGAGAAAAACGGCAGAUAUAGGAAAUGAUAUCUGAGUGAUGGUAACCUGCCAGAAAGUCACGGCUAACUACGUGCCGGCAGCCGCGGUAAUACGUAGGUGGCGAGCGUUAUCCGGAAUGAUUGGGCGUAAAGGGUGCGUAGGUGGCCUUAUAAGUCUGGAGUGAAAGGCGGCAGCUCAACUGCCGUAUGCUCUGGAAACUGUGAGGCUGGAGUGCAGGAGAGGGCGAUGGAACUCCAUGUGUAGCGGUAAAAUGCGUAGAUAUAUGGAAGAACACCAGUGGCGAAGGCGGUCGCCUGGCCUGUAACUGACACUGAAGCACGAAAGCGUGGGGAGCAAAUAGGAUUAGAUACCCUAGUAGUCCACGCCCUAAACGAUGAGUACUAGAUGUUGGAAUUUUCAGUGUCACAGCUAACGCAAUAAGUACUCCGCCUGAGGAGUAUGCACGCAAGUGUAAAACUUAAAGGAAUUGACGGGGCCCCGCACAAGCGGUGGAGUAUGUGGUUUAAUUCGACGCAACGCGAAGAACCUUACCAGGCCUUGACAUCCCCUGCAAAACUAUAGAGAUAUAGCAGAGGUUAUCAGGGUGACAGGUGGUGCAUGGUUGUCGUCAGCUCGUGUCGUGAGAUGUUGGGUUAAGUCCCGCAACGAGCGCAACCCUCGUCUUUAGUUACCAUCAUUCAGUUGGGGACUCUAGAGAAACUGCCGGUGACAAACCGGAGGAAGGUGGGGAGGACGUCAAAUCAUCAUGCCCUUUAUGGCCUGGGCUACACACGUACUACAAUGGCGUAUACAAUAAGAGGCAAUAUCGUAAGAUGGAGCAAAACUUCUAAAAUACGUCUCAGUUCGGAUUGAGGUCUGCAACUCGACCUCAUGAAGUUGGAAUCGCUAGUAAUCGCGAAUCAGCAUGUCGCGGUGAAUACGUUCUCGGGGCUUGCACUCACCGCCCGUCA